UAAUCAUCUUGGUUGCCCUACGCUGGACCCUCUCCAGCAGUUCCCUGUCCUUCUGGAACUGAGGGGCCACAACUGGACACAAUAUUCCAGAUGCGGUCUCACCAGGGCGGAGCAGAGGGGAAGGAGGACCUCUCUCCACCUACUAACCACCCCCCUUCUAAUACACCCCAGGAUGCCAUUGGCCUUCCUGGCCACAAGGGCCCAGGGCUGGCUCAUGGUCACCCUGCUGUCCACCAGGACCCCCAGGUCCCUUUCCCCUCCACUGCUCUCUAAUAUGUAAUUUCCCAACCUAUACUGGAACCUGGGGUUGUUCCUGCCCAGGUGCAGGACUCUACACUUGCCCUUGUCAAAUUUCAUCAGGUUAUUCCCCGCCCAACUCUCCAGCCUGUCCAGGUCCCGCUGGAUGGCAGCACAGCCUCUGGCGUGUCAGCCACCCCUCCCAGCUUGGUGUCAUCAGCAAACUUGCCGAUAGUGAACUCUAUUCCCUCGUCCAAAUCAUUAAUGAAUAUACUGAAUAACAGUGGCCCCAGCGCUGACCCCUGAGGCACUGCACUGGAUACUGGCCUCCAGCUGCACUCCGCACCAUUGACUACCGCUCUCUGGCUUCUCUCCUUAAGCCAGUUUGCAACCCACCUCACUACUCUAUUGUCUAGACGAAGCUGUUCCAUUACUUUCCCAGGGACAGAGGUGAGGCUGACCGGUCUGUAAUUACCCGGGUCCUCCUUCUUGCCCUUUUUGAAGACUGCAGUGACAUUCGCUUUCCUCCAAUCCUCGGGCACCUCCCCCGUUUCCCAAGACUUGGCAAAGAUGACGGAGAGCGGUCCAGCAGUGACUUCAGCCGGCUCCCUCAGCACCCGCGGGUGCAUCCCAUCCGGACCCGUGGAUUUAUGGAUGUCCAGACUAUUUAAUUGCUCCCUAAGCCAGUCCUCAUCGACUAAAGCAAACUCCUCCACUGACCUGGCUUCAUCCGGGGUCUCAGGGGUACAGGGCUCCCCAGGACGGCCUCCAGCAGAGUAGACAGAGACAAAGAAGGCAUUCAGGAAUUCUGCCUCCUCUGUAUCUUCUGCCACCAGGGCACCCACCCCGUUCAUCAGUGGGCCUACAUCAGCGAGGAGCUGAAGCGCUCUGUCGAGAUCGGACGAACAGACGCCUGUCCCUGUUUUCUCUUCCCGCUUUUGAAGAGAAGCUGCCGAGUUAGCGUACGCUGCGGUGAAGUUCUACAAGAUGCAGCCCUCAGGAACCGGUUGACGUGAGGGAAAUGCUUUCUGACCGCCUGCGCGGUGAGGGGACGUUUUUCACCUUUUAGCUCCUUCUGCACGACAAGAGGGAGACGGAAGGUUAAGUAACACGUUGUUUAGGAGCUGAGAGCUUAGUUUGUAUUUAACUAAUAAUUAAGAGAUGUGUUGUCAGCGAGAAACUAAA